CCCCCCUCCCCAGGGGUCUCCCACCCGAACCCCCGCAGCACCGAGCUGUCUGACAUGAUCUCGGAUUCCGAGGACGAGGGCCACGACCCACUCGGUGGGAAGGGCCCCUUGCGGCUGUACCACAGGACCAAGAACAACACCCUGAUUCCGACUCUGGUGCAGCACAUUCACCUGAUUGCCCUGAAACCCUGCUACGUGGCCUUGGAGAGGUUAGCGAGGCCAACGGUGAGCUGACAGCACCCGCUGCUUGCCCCGCGUUGAUCACACUCUGGCUGGCACCCGACACCACCACCGUUGAUGCUGAGCCGAGCCUCCCCUGUGCCUGGGACGUUUGGUGGGAGCAGCAUUUGAGGUGGGGUUUGGGGAGAGGGGGUGCUGCCGCACUGCCUGCGGUGCUCACCAGCCGACGUGGGAGGACGACAGACACGAACAUAAGCUCACCGCCGUCCCGAGGUGGUGGGAAGUCUACGCGUAAACCUUUCUCCCUGGAUGGUAUUUAUUUUUCUGAACGUAGACCGUGAAGGGAAGGUUCGGAUCCGUGAGAGAGAGGGAGACUUUGUAUUCAGAGAACGGUGGGAAUCUGUUUGCCAGCACUUUCUUUCCUCUGUAUUUCUGUCUUGUACUUUUGUUUUAGGAAAAUGCAAAAUGUGAGUUGUUUUUAUUUAAGAAAUGGGCCAGGGAGACGAAUAUUGUUAUUCUGAAUAAAUUAGUGAAAGGCA